AUUCAUGUGCUUGAAUUUUGCAACAGAAGCCUUCAUUCCUUCCUCCCCUAUUUAAACGUGCUUCAUCUACUGCAUUACGUUUCUAUUUUUUUUUCUAAACCUAAUAUUUUCAUUCCCUUCUUAACAAACAUCAGCCGCCAUUCUUCAAGUGUUCUGAGAUCAUAAUCAUCAUCUUUCAUUCUAUUAUUCGAACCAGCUUUAAAUCUGAUUGUACUUUGACGGUUCACAUCAACUCUGCGAUCUCUAUCAUCGCUACGUUUCGAAAUCGAUUAAGACCUGUCGACUGUUCGUACUUCAGAGGCGAACCAGAGUUAGAUUGCUUGUCAAGUUUCACGUGGAAUAGCAAGCAGUUUAUGAUUUGAGCUUUGGUCGAUCUCCGUUUCUUCAUUUCCGGAGGUUUUUAUUUUAUUUUCAGAAAUAAAGAGUCGAACUGUUUUAAACUCUUAGACCGCAGUAGUAGUAUUAGAUUACUUAUGAUUAGUCUUGUACUUAUAUUUUUAGACUGUUGAAUGUUGGUGAUUAUUUUA